UACAGAGGGUGCGAGCGUUAAUCGGAAUUACUGGGCGUAAAGCGUGCGUAGACGGUUUCGUAAGUCGGGUGUGAAAUCCCCGGGCUCAACCUGGGAAUUGCACUUGAAACUACGGGACUGGAGUAUGGCAGAGGGAGGUGGAAUUCCACGUGUAGCGGUGAAAUGCGUAGAGAUGUGGAGGAACACCGAUGGCGAAGGCAGCCUCCUGGGCCAAUACUGACGCUCAUGCACGAAAGCGUGGGGAGCAAACAGG
rnacentral:rRNA from 1 species